rnacentral:rRNA from 1 species
GGUGAACGCUGGCGGCGUGCCUAACACAUGCAAGUCGAACGCCGUAGCAAUACGGAGUGGCAGACGGGUGAGUAACACGUGGGAACGUACCCUUUGGUUCGGAAUAACUCAGGGAAACUUGAGCUAAUACCGGAUAAGCGCGAGAGCGGAAAGAUUUAUCGCCGAAGGAUCGGCCCGCGUCCGAUUAGCUAGUUGGUGAGGUAAUGGCUCACCAAGGCGACGAUCGGUAGCUGGUCUGAGAGGAUGAUCAGCCACACUGGGACUGAGACACGGCCCAGACUCCUACGGGAGGCAGCAGUGGGGAAUAUUGGACAAUGGGCGCAAGCCUGAUCCAGCCAUGCCGCGUGAGUGAUGAAGGCCCUAGGGUUGUAAAGCUCUUUCGUCAGGGACGAUAAUGACGGUACCUGAAGAAGAAGCCCCGGCUAACUUCGUG